UUAGCUUCCUCAAGAGCUUGUUUGCUAUUUUUUUGAUUUUUUUAGGAUUUUUUGUGGCUUCCAUUAGAUCCAAAAUGUCUUCCGAUAUCUCCUCUUCUAGCGGUUCUAGGAGUUCGUCAGCCCCAGUUCUCCAAAGUCCUUGUACUGUAGACGAACCUGUAGUUAAGAUCGAACCUCAUCUAGUCUUUGCACCGGACACCAUCCCC
rnacentral:lncRNA from 1 species